rnacentral:rRNA from 1 species
GCGCCAGACUCCUACGGGAGGCAGCAGUGGGGAAUAUUGCACAAUGGGGGAAACCCUGAUGCAGCGACGCCGCGUGAGUGAAGAAGUAAUUCGUUAUGUAAAGCUCUAUCAGCAGGGAAGAAAAUGACGGUACCUGAGUAGGAAGCCCCGGCUAACUACGUGCCAGCAGCCGCGGUAAUACGUAAGGGGCAAGCGUUAUCCGGAUUUACUGGGUGAAAAGGGGGCGCAGACGGCGAUGCAAGCCAGGAGUGAAGGCCGGGGCCCAACCCCGGGACUGCUCUUGGAACUGCGUGGCUGGAGUGCAGGAGGGGCAGGCGGAAUUCCUGGUGUAGCGGUGAAAUGCGUAGAUAUCAGGAGGAACACCGGUGGCGAAGGCGGCCUGCUGGACUGCAACUGACGUUGAGGCCCGAAAGCGUGGGGAGCAAACAGGAUUAGAUACCCCUGUA